UCUAGCUUUUGUCAAGAGUGACAAGCCCAAACUGUUCAGGGGACUGCAGAUUAAGUAUGUGCGCGGCUCUGAUCCUGUACUGAAGCUCUUGGACGACAGUGGGAACAUUGCCGAAGAACUGAGCAUCCUGAAAUGGAAUACAGAUAGCGUCGAAGAAUUCUUAAAUGAAAAGCUAGAACGUCUCUAAAUAUUUUCCCCUUUUAAAAAGAAUUGAAACCUUGAUUUCUCAUAUAUUUCAUUGUCAUAAUCUUCUCAAAGUGUGAUAAAUGCUGGAAAACAUCCCAGCUUCUGCUUUCAUUUAAAAGCUAUCCCGCAUUAUGUGGAUGUUGAUUACAAGGCACUUCAAGCAAAGCACAGUUUAUAAAUUGGUAGGCUGAUCAAAUGACUGUCAAGUAUAUUUCAAUUCAGUUUUGCAGGUAGAGAUCCUUUAUGUUAGGUUUGAUAAACUUAUCUGAUGCAAAUACUGAAUUUUUUUUUACAAUUUGAAUAUUUUUCAUAAAGGUUUCUCUUAAUUAGGUGAUUCUGUGCUUGCAUAUAAGUGUGCAUAUUAAUUAUGCUGCCACUCAUUUAUACAAUGAUGAGACCUUAAUACCAAAUGUGAUAUACUAUAUUCCAUCCACCAUCACCACCCAAAUACUUGCUACCUUUCUUUGCAUUUUGUAUUUCUCUACUAUUCUGUUUUUUAUAACUGAGAAUAUCCAUAAUAGAUACUUGCUUUUUUUAAAAAAAAAUGGUUUGUCAUUUUGGAGAGACCCAUGCUGUUGAAUGACUGGAAAAUGCUAGGGAAUUGCACUUAAUGAUGACUACAUAGAAAGCCUUAAAGAAAGGCAUAUGCAUGUCUGAUGUCAUGUGUAUUUUCACUAAAUUGUUUUAUCAUCUUCAGCAGACAUGAGUUCAGUGAAGAGGAAAAUUAUUUGAGAGGGCAAUAAAUUACUUCACAAAAUAUGUA